AGUGAACGCUGGCGGUAGGCCUAACACAUGCAAGUCGAACGGCAGCACAGUAAGAGCUUGCUCUUACGGGUGGCGAGUGGCGGACGGGUGAGGAAUACAUCGGAAUCUACUUUUUCGUGGGGGAUAACGUAGGGAAACUUACGCUAAUACCGCAUACGACCUACGGGUGAAAGCAGUGGAUCUUCGGACCUUGCGCGAUUGAAUGAGCCGCUGUCGGAUUCGCUAGUUGGCGGGUUAAAGGCCCACCAAGGCGACGAUCCGUAGCUGGUCUGAGAGGAGGAUCAGCCACACUGGAACUGAGACACGGUCCAGACUCCUACGGGAGGCAGCAGUGGGGAAUAUUGGACAAUGGGCGCAAGCCUGAUCCAGCCAUACCGCGUGGGUGAAGAAGGCCUUCGGGUUGUAAAGCCCUUUUGUUGGGAAAGAAAAGCAGCAGGUUAAUACCCCGCUGUUCUGACGGUACCCAAAGAAUAAGCACCGGCUAACUUCGUG
rnacentral:rRNA from 1 species